UUCCAGUUCACUGUGUGUGGAAUCUGU
rnacentral:piRNA from 1 species